rnacentral:rRNA from 1 species
UACGUAGGGGGCGAGCGUUGUCCGGAUUCAUUGGGCGUAAAGCGCUUUAAGGCGGUUCGGUAAGUCGGGUGUGAAACCUCCAGGCUCAACCUGGAGACGCCACUCGAUACUGCUGUGACUAGAGUUCGGUAGGGGAUCACGGAAUUCCUGGUGUAGCGGUGAAAUGCGCAGAUAUCAGGAGGAACACCGAUGGCGAAGGCAGGUCUCUGGGCCACUACUGACGCUGAGAAGCGAAAGCAUGGGGAGCGAACAGG